rnacentral:rRNA from 1 species
AUUGAACGCUGGCGGCAGGCCUAACACAUGCAAGUCGAGCGGAUGAAGGGAGCUUGCUCCUGGAUUCAGCGGCGGACGGGUGAGUAAUGCCUAGGAAUCUGCCUGGUAGUGGGGGAUAACGUCCGGAAACGGGCGCUAAUACCGCACACGUCCUGAGGGAGAAAGUGGGGGAUCUUCGGACCUCACGCUAUCAUAUGAGCCUAGGUCGGAUUAGCUAGUUGGUGGGGUAAAGGCCUACCAAGGCGACGAUCCGUAACUGGUCUGAGAGGAUGAUCAGUCACACUGGAACUGAGACACGGUCCAGACUCCUACGGGAGGCAGCAGUGGGGAAUAUUGGACAAUGGGCGAAAGCCUGAUCCAGCCAUGCCGCGUGUGUGAAGAAGGUCUUCGGAUUGUAAAGCACUUUAAGUUGGGAGGAAGGGCAGUAAGUUAAUACCUUGCUGUUUUGACGUUACCAACAGAAUAAGCACCGGCUAACUUCGUG